GUCUAUUGCAUGUGUCCACAUAUCUAUUCUUUCAGUUGAAUUUCCUUCCUGGUGAUCCAUGAUUUGUUCUUUUAUAAUUUCUUUGCUUUAUGAAGAACUUCCUUCGGCCAUUUUUCAAUGAUGUCCUCAAGGCAGCAUCCAACUAUCAGGUCUCUGCACACCUAGGAGUUAAUUGGUGGAACUGCUUUCCAUAAAAUAUUCAUACCAGUAACUAUUUUUAAAGUUAAUUUAAAAACUAUUUCUUUUUUCAUUUUAAUCUCAAAUAUUGCUAGUGAAAUUUUAUGUGAUAUCUUUACUUACAGACAAUCCCAAAAGGUACUGAAAGUUAAGAACAUUGCUUAGAGGAAAAGAUGGUAUGACUUCAUACUCAGUGCCUCAUUAUCCCAUACUGCAGUUUGGCUUUGAACCACCAAUCCCAGAAGACACUAUCGUCAAUUUUGUAUGUAUGCAAGAAAGACUGCCGCCUGCGAUGUGAUUCAAGAAAUGACAGGAAAAAAAUUCUACUUUUAAUAUUUUUAAUUUGUAGACUUUCAGAAAAAUUUACAUUCACUUUAUUAUUGCAACAAAUAUUGUUAAUUAUUAAAAUUCAAAUAUAAUAUAAAAAUUGUUAGCUCAUUAAACUAUAAAUUAUAAGUAUCAGAAUUCAAGUAAGCUAGCCAGGUAUCCUAGAAAAACCUAAAGAAAUAUAAAUCCAAGAAAAUGAUUUAGACUGUGGGGAAGGGAUCAGGAUAUUUCAGCUAACCUAAGAAUUUUCUAUACCAUUGUGUGUGUGCGUUUGUGUGUGUGUGUGUAAGUGUGUGUAUCUGAAAAUAGAAAAGUUAAACAGAGAACUCCUAGAAUACAAUAUUCCUAAUACUGUACAGUUGUUCCUAUUUACUAUUUCUUCAACUCUGAGCC
rnacentral:lncRNA from 1 species